rnacentral:rRNA from 1 species
UACGUAGGGUGCGAGCGUUAAUCGGAAUUACUGGGCGUAAAGCGUGCGCAGGCGGUUUUGUAAGACAGAGGUGAAAUCCCCGGGCUCAACCUGGGAACUGCCUUUGUGACUGCAAGGCUUGAGUGCGGCAGAGGGGGAUGGAAUUCCGCGUGUAGCAGUGAAAUGCGUAGAUAUGCGGAGGAACACCGAUGGCGAAGGCAGUCCCCUGGACCUGUACUGACGCUCAUGCACGAAAGCGUGGGGAGCAAACAGG